GGGCGAUUAGCUCAGUUGGAUAGAGCGCUGGUCUCCGGAACCAGAGGUCGCGCGUUCAAGUCGCGCAUCGCCCG
rnacentral:tRNA from 1 species